rnacentral:rRNA from 1 species
GCGGCGUGCCUAACACAUGCAAGUCGAACGGAGUUUAUGAAGUUUUCGGACGGAUUAAACUUAGUGGCGGACGGGUGAGUAACGCGUGGGUAACCUGCCUCAUACAGGGGGAUAACAGUUGGAAACGGCUGCUAAAACCGCAUAACAUUGCGACACCGCAUGGUGAUGCAAUUAAAUAUUUAUAGGUAUGAGAUGGGCCCGCGUCUGAUUAGCUAGUUGGUGAGGUAAUGGCCCACCAAGGCGACGAUCAGUAGCCGGCUUGAGAGAGUGACCUGCCACAUUGGGACUGAGACACGGCCCAAACUCCUACGGGAGGCAGCAGUGGGGAAUAUUGCACAAUGGGGGAAACCCUGAUGCAGCGACGCCGCGUGAGUGA